ACCCCGUCAGAAGAUGGCGGCCGCUUGGCUCGCCUCCUCAGGCCGGCCCACACGCUGAGCCCGGCCCAUAGCCCUCGGAAAGGCUCCCUCCCAAGCCUUCGAAGCCCUCGAAGCCCAGCAGCCUUUACCCAGCAAUGGAAAGUAUGCAACAGCAUAGAGAAAACAAUACUGCUUUCUAACUCCAGCUUUCUAAGGACCAUGAAAAAAAGGCACUCUUGAGACCUAGGGGAUAUUAGAAAAAUUAUAGAAAAGGAACCAUUGGAGAUAAUGGAUCUCCUAAACCUGUGUAUGAAGCCACUUCUGAACACUUCAUGGAUGACUAGGACUCUGACUCUGGUAGUAAGGCGAAAACAAUAAUACACUGUGAUCAGAAACUUUUAUUUUCCAUCAACCUUAUUUCCAUUUUGUUUGCCUUUGUGGAAGAGUGGCUGAAGACCACUCACUUUACCAAAGUGUUCCAACAGCCUCAGGGACGUUCCAGCCAAACAAAAUUUGAAUAGAUUUCUCCCUUCCCAGAAAACAGAAGACAUUACAAUGAAGUACUAUAACCAGUAAGAUGCCUGGACACGGGCUUUGUAAAGCUAGCACUGAAGAUGAGGCUUGCUUUGCCUUUCCACUGUAAAUAGAAAAUCCGGGAGAUUUUUAUUUGGGGGACUGACUUGCGGAUGAAAUACAGCCUCAGCCAAUAGUCAUAAUCAUUAUGGUGUCAGAAUAAGUAUAUUUGGAACACUGAAAAUACCAGAAGAAGAGGGAAGAGAAAAGAGAACACUUUACGGCUCAGUGGCUAAUCGUGAAUAUUAAAUGUCAAUGAUAUGAACUUUCCUAAGUGAUAUUCAAAAGGAACUGGUCCAAGCCACCAUUAAAGUGAG